UACGUAGGGUGCAAGCGUUGUCCGGAAUUAUUGGGCGUAAAGAGCUCGUAGGCGGUCUGUCGCGUCUGCUGUGAAAACUCAGGGCUUAACCCUGAGCUUGCAGUGGGUACGGGCAGACUAGAGUCCGGUAGGGGCCCACGGAAUUCCUGGUGUAGCGGUGAAAUGCGCAGAUAUCAGGAGGAACACCGGUGGCGAAGGCGGUGGGCUGGGCCGGAACUGACGCUGAGGAGCGAAAGCGUGGGGAGCAAACAGG
rnacentral:rRNA from 1 species